AUGCUUUGAAGAGGUCAUGCCAGCGGCAUACGACAGAUCCACAGAGAACAGGUCGUCCCUAUGGAGCAGGCCAUGAAAUUUGUCCGAGCACGGAGCACCCUCAGCCAGAGCAUCCGGCUACUGCAGAGGACAGCUGAGGAACUACCUGUGAAGGUGACUAACGUCCUUAGUGCCAUCGACGAAGCAGAGUACCUCAUCACAAACAACGCUUCACGCGUGGUUAAACAGGAGAGAGAUGUCUACAUGCAGAGCCUGA